rnacentral:lncRNA from 1 species
UUUUCAAUUUUACCGGUGAAGUUGUCUUUCUCAAGUCUUCCUACUGAAAUCAAAUUCCUAGAUAAUUCCGGAAUGUAUCUAACUUCCUUUAACAUGUACACAAAGCCUGUGUUAAAUUUUAUCUUUAUAUCUCCAAUUUCAGCAAUUGUAUAAGCGAAGUUAUCACACAGAACUACUUGCCCAUCAUUAGAUUCUUGCAAGUUUUCAAACCAGUUCUUUUCAGAUGUCAGAUGAAAAAACGCACCAGAAUCUAAUAUUCAUUCAUGCAUGUGAGAAUUAGUAGUUAGAUUUAAUUCAGUAGUGUAUGCGACUGGACUAGUGAUCACAUAGACUUCACCGUUUUCGAUAUCGGAGGUAGAGGAUAACACAUUUACCUCAUCUCUUUCCUUAACCUUCUAUUUUCCCUUUUCUUUAUGACAGUCUUUUAUAAAAUGCCCUGUGCCUCCACAGCCAUAGCAUUUUCUAGCCUUAGUUCUAGACUUUGAUCUAGGUCUACCAUUCCCCUUCUUUUUCCAACUAUUACUACUUGAUUCGCCACUACUUUGGUAUCUACCAUGACUGGCUUGUCUAAAUUGAGUUCUACCCCGCAUUAUAUGCAACUCUCCACUCCUCCUAUCCUGUUUUUCAGCCCUCAUUUUCAUCUCCUUACUCCAAAGAGAAUCUACGACAAUUUCAGGUGUUAACGUGUCCCUACCAUACUUAAUGGCAUUUUUAACUUCUAUAUAAGAGUCCAGGAUUGAAUUGAGCAAGAUAAUGGCCUUAUAGGUUUCAGACACGGCUUCAUCACAAUUGACAAUAUCUUGCACCAAUUUGUUAAUCUAAAUUGAGUUUUACCCCGAAUUAUAUGCAACUCUCCACUCCUCCUAUCCUGUUUUUCAGCCCUCAUUUUCAUCUCCUUACUCCAAAGAGAAUCUACGACAAUUUCAGGUGUUAACGUGUCCCUACCAUACUUAAUGGCAUUUUUAACUUCUAUAUAAGAGUCCGGGAUUGAAUUGAGCAAGAUAAUGGCCUUAUAGGUUUCAGACACGGCUUCAUCACAAUUGACAAUAUCUUGCACCAAUUUGUUAAAUACAUCUAAAUUGUCGUCGAGAUCCUUUGAAGGAUCCAUUUUAAAGCUGAAGAAUCGUUCGAGUAGGUAGAGUUUAUUCGGUGUAGAUUUAAGCAAGUAUAAGUCUUAUAGUUUUUUCCAAAGUUCUUUGAUGGUUUUUAGUUUUCCCACUUUUCUUAAGACAGCGUCAAACAAGUGUAAUAUUGUUGACGUAUAGGCAAGCUCAUCGGCUUCCUCUUUUUGUUCUUUUGAGAUAUCAGGUGCAAAAUUGCCUUCGAUGGCUUUUGAC